AACGUAGGGGCCAAGCGUUAUCCGGAAUUACUGGGCGUAAAGAGCGUGUAGGCGGUUAGAUAAGUUGGAUGUGAAAGCUCCCGGCUCAACUGGGAGAGGCCAUUCAAAACUGUUUGACUAGAGAUAGAUAGAGGCAAGUGGAAUUUCCGGUGUAGCGGUGAAAUGCGUAGAUAUCGGAAGGAACACCAGAGGCGAAGGCGGCUUGCUGGGUCUGAUCUGACGCUGAGACGCGAAAGCUAGGGGAGAGAACGGG
rnacentral:rRNA from 1 species